ensembl:lncRNA
CAAGUGUUCAUUUGAUGACCUUCAUUUCCUAAAACAUCCAGAAUUGGAGCUCAUAUCUUUGGCAGCUGUAAAGUUUCUGCUCCUUCAAAGUUCACAACACAAUGAAUGAAUUCCUAAAACACUCUCAAUGCUGGAGAGCGUUUGAUGCUGAAGCAGUGACCAGUUUUUCUGUUUCUUCUCUGGAGAUGCACAACGAGGGACGUCUGCAGAGACUGAGAAAGAGUCUCACCACAUCCUGACAUGAGGAAAAAGACCUUAUUGAAGACUACAAUGAGAAAAACUAUCAGACAGCAGACGGCAUGCAUUCAAGUCUGUAGCUGCUGAAUUCAUGGAUGAAUCAUCUGGCACUAGAGAAGAAGACCAUCAAACAUCCACGUCAGCUGAUGGAGGUCCAAGAGUCUCACCAAACAACCAACCUACAGAGUGAAGACCUCAAAUCUGAUUGGACGGCCUCCUAUUCAGCCACAUGCUACAGGAGGAGCCCUACGAGGACGAGCCGGUCCACCUGAUGGUGGCCAGUCGCUGCGGUUCAAAGCCAACACCGACUACGUGGACUUCUACUGGACCACAUGGAGGCCUUCAAACCGGACCAACAAGUUCAGCGACUCCCCGACUCGUGGGUCUGAGGACGCCGCCGAGCCUCGGCCCAGCCGGCCUCCUGUCUGUGGGUGUUUGAGUGCUGAGAGGUUUGUGGAUG